rnacentral:rRNA from 1 species
GAACUGCAGGACACAUGAACACCGAUAUACUUGAACGCAUAUUGCGCAUCGUGCGACACAGCUCGAUGUACACAUUUUUGAGU